AACGUAGGACGCAAGCGUUAUCCGGAGUUACUGGGCGUAAAGCGCGGGCAGGCGGCUCUGUAAGUCUGAUGUGAAAGCGCCCGGCUCAACCGGGCGAGGCCAUUGGAAACUACAAAGCUGGAGGGCAGUAGAGGCAGGCGGAAUUCCGGGUGGAGUGGUGAAAUGCGUAGAUAUCAGGAAGAACACCGGUGGCGAAAGCGCUCUGCUAGGCCGCAACUGACACUGAGGGACGAAAGCUAGGGGAGCGAAUGGG
rnacentral:rRNA from 1 species